GGGGGUGUGGCUUAGGGGUAAAGCGCUCGCUUAGCAUGCGAGAGGUCCUGGGUUCGAUUCCCAGCAUCUCCA
rnacentral:tRNA from 1 species